ACCGUAGUUCCCCUAUUCCUCGUAGAAAAAGAAUGCUAUAGCGUCGUGCUUUUGAUCACAAAGGAAUAAAAUUUUUGUAACCCAUUUAUUGACAGCGGUAGUUGGGAAUGUCUAUGUAUUGUGUAUACAUGCUUUUGAUCACAAAGGAAUAAAAUUUUCUUUGGUGCAAAUCGCUGGCCUAGGAAAGACAUUUGAUGAGUC
rnacentral:lncRNA from 1 species